UACGUAGGGGGCGAGCGUUGUCCGGAAUUACUGGGCGUAAAGCGUGCGCAGGCGGUUUGUUAAGCGAGAUGUGAAAGCCCCGGGCUCAACCUGGGAACCGCAUUUCGAACUGGCAAACUAGAGUCUUGUAGAGGGGGGUAGAAUUCCAGGUGUAGCGGUGAAAUGCGUAGAGAUCUGGAGGAAUACCGGUGGCGAAGGCGGCCCCCUGGACAAAGACUGACGCUCAGGCACGAAAGCGUGGGGAGCAAACAGG
rnacentral:rRNA from 1 species